AGUGGGCGCUGGCGGUAGGCCUAACACAUGCAAGUCGAGGGGUAGAGGUUGCUUGCAACCUUGAGACCGGCGCACGGGUGCGUAACGCGUAUGCAACCUACCUUUUACAGAGGGAUAGCCCAGAGAAAUUUGGAUUAAUACCUCAUAGUAUAUAACCUUCGCAUGUUGGUUAUAUUAAAGUUCCAAUGGUAAAAGAUGGGCAUGCGUCCUAUUAGCUAGAUGGUAAGGUAACGGCUUACCAUGGCAACGAUAGGUAGGGGUCCUGAGAGGGAGAUCCCCCACACUGGUACUGAGACACGGACCAGACUCCUACGGGAGGCAGCAGUGAGGAAUAUUGGACAAUGGGCGCAAGCCUGAUCCAGCCAUGCCGCGUGCAGGAAGAAGCAUCUAUGGUGUGUAAACUGCUUUUGUACAGGAAGAAACACCCCGACGUGUCGGGGCUUGACGGUACUGUAAGAAUAAGGAUCGGCUAACUCCGUGCCAGCCGCCGCAGUAA
rnacentral:rRNA from 1 species